GUCCAGGCUGCAGUGAGCCAUGAUUGUGCUACUGCACUCCAGCCUGGGUGACAGAGAGAGAACCUGUCUCAGAAACAAAGCACAACCAAAACCAAAACCAAAAACAAUUGGAGUUUGAGCCUUGGAAAAAAGAGGAGCCAGCAAAGGAUGCCCUGAAGGAGAAGCUGAUGAGAGGCAAACUGUGAUUCUAAGUAUGACACAGAGUCCUGAGAUGCAAUGAAGACAAUCUCCAUCAAUUCUGUUGUGAACUCUUCACGGGCAAAGAUGGGAUCUGAUUGUCAUUCAAAACGCAGUGCCUAAUUCAAUGCCUGGCACAUUGUCCGGUGAAUGAACUUAUUAACCCACAACAAAAUGUAACUGCAGGAGAGACCAGAAUAUUCUUGGCCAUU
rnacentral:lncRNA from 1 species